CGAAGUCACUCUGAAUUCCCGGAAGAUUGGACCCAAACAGAAGAACAAAAACAAAUUCUGGAGCCAAAUAUAAAUGCGUUUUUAAUUACCCGCACGGCUGCUCCCUCCCAUUAGUGUGGGAAAUGAAGGGUUGAGCGUUUAGCACUUAACAGUGAUAAUCCCAGCGCAAAACUUUCAGAACAGCCCAUUGAUCCCAAAGUCCGAUGGAUAUGAGCCUGCUUCAGGUGGCUUGGGCUAGCUCCGCGGCCUCUUCACUGUUUGGAAUGGAGGAAGCUCAAACCCAGCCAGCAUCCCAAGCCAAGCAAGCUGCACAGGGCCGGCAUCUGGGAUGUGAAAAGCUAACUGGCCAGACUUGGAGGGCAUGCAAGGACAACGGCCGUCUCAAGGACACACACUGGAUGGGCAGGUGCCUUGUGCAGUCAGGACAAGUGUUCCGGAGCCUGGCAGCUGUGGCCUGUCUGACCUUACCCCUCUGGGCUGACUGAGCUGGGAAUGCCUCUGCCGACUCAGCCCAGCACCUGGUAUGGAGAAAGUGCCAGGGAAGGGCUAGGAUCCCACAGCACAACAGGACACUCGAAUGACAGCAUUGUUACAAAUGAAGGUACCAUGGGCUUCAUCUGGCCCCAGCCAUCUGCCUAAAGUGCCCCAGAGGUGCAGACUGUAGAAGUUUCCUCCUCCCUGGAGUGUCUCCCUCCCCCCAGAGAGACACAAGCAGAGCCCAUGUUUGCUUGCUGUUACUCCAAUGGGAAUAUAUCCAAACCCAAUUGUUUCCGGGGAUCCCCCAGGCAAGCAAAUGGCGUCUGGUCUGCCGAGCAGAACUCUCGAGGGGCUCUGUGGUGAAUGCCAGGCCCCAGCGCUGGGGCUCGGGGCUCACGUGUGUCCCCUGAUUGGGCUUUUCUUCUUCUGGGAUGUGGGGGUGGUCAAGACACCAGAGUCCCAGGAUUCUCUUGAGGAUUAAAGAGCAGGCAUUUGUGAAGCGCUGGCCUCGGUCCUGCUGCAGAAGCAAUCUCUGAGAGAGCAGUGGCCGAUAUGAUUGCCCCAGUUAAAGCUGAAUUUUCACAGAGGACUUCCAAAGGGACUGGAGCUCCGCUAAUGAGGACUUUUUGCCCUUUCUCUUCUGCGCUGAGAUCUGACCUGUUUGCUCUGAUGCCACGGUGUGAGAACAUUGCUGAGCUCAGGGCUCUCUUGGCGACAUCUGUACACCUGUCCCCACUCCCAUUGUAUGUGUAUGGGUGUGCAUGUGCAUAUGUGCUUCAGUG